rnacentral:rRNA from 1 species
UACGUAGGGUGCGAGCGUUAAUCGGAAUUACUGGGCGUAAAGCGUGCGCAGGCGGUCUGUUAAGACCGAUGUGAAAUCCCCGGGCUUAACCUGGGAACUGCAUUGGUGACUGCAUCGCUCGAGUAUGGGCAGGGGGGGUAGAAUUCCACGUGUAGCAGUGAAAUGCGUAGAGAUGUGGAGGAAUACCGAUGGCGAAGGCAGCCCCCUGGGUCAAUACUG